rnacentral:rRNA from 1 species
GGGUUGUGAGGUUAAGCGACUAAGCGUACACGGUGGAUGCCCUGGCAGUCAGAGGCGAUGAAGGACGUGCUAAUCUGCGAUAAGCGUCGGUAAGGUGAUAUGAACCGUUAUAACCGGCGAUUUCCGAAUGGGGAAACCCAGUGUGUUUCGACACACUAUCAUUAACUGAAUCCAUAGGUUAAUGAGGCGAACCGGGGGAACUGAAACAUCUAAGUACCCCGAGGAAAAGAAAUCAACCGAGAUUCCCCCAGUAGCGGCGAGCGAACGGGGAGGAGCCCAGAGCCUGAAUCAGUGUGUGUGUUAGUGGAAGCGUCUGGAAAGGCGCGCGAUACAGGGUGACAGCCCCGUACACAAAAAUGCACAUGCUGUGAGCUCGAUGAGUAGGGCGGGACACGUGGUAUCCUGUCUGAAUAUGGGGGGACCAUCCUCCAAGGCUAAAUACUCCUGACUGACCGAUAGUGAACCAGUACCGUGAGGGAAAGGCGAAAAGAACCCCGGCGAGGGGAGUGAAAAAGAACCUGAAACCGUGUACGUACAAGCAGUGGGAGCCUCUUAAUGGGGUGACUGCGUACCUUUUGUAUAAUGGGUCAGCGACUUAUAUUCUGUAGCAAGGUUAACCGAAUAGGGGAGCCGAAGGGAAACCGAGUCUUAACUGGGCGUUAAGUUGCAGGGUAUAGACCCGAAACCCGGUGAUCUAGCCAUGGGCAGGUUGAAGGUUGGGUAACACUAACUGGAGGACCGAACCGACUAAUGUUGAAAAAUUAGCGGAUGACUUGUGGCUGGGGGUGAAAGGCCAAUCAAACCGGGAGAUAGCUGGUUCUCCCCGAAAGCUAUUUAGGUAGCGCCUCGUGAAUUCAUCUCCGGGGGUAGAGCACUGUUUCGGCAAGGGGGUCAUCCCGACUUACCAACCCGAUGCAAACUGCGAAUACCGGAGAAUGUUAUCACGGGAGACACACGGCGGGUGCUAACGUCCGUCGUGAAGAGGGAAACAACCCAGACCGCCAGCUAAGGUCCCAAAGUCAUGGUUAAGUGGGAAACGAUGUGGGAAGGCCCAGACAGCCAGGAUGUUGGCUUAGAAGCAGCCAUCAUUUAAAGAAAGCGUAAUAGCUCACUGGUCGAGUCGGCCUGCGCGGAAGAUGUAACGGGGCUAAACCAUGCACCGAAGCUGCGGCAGCGACACUAUGUGUUGUUGGGUAGGGGAGCGUUCUGUAAGCCUGUGAAGGUGUACUGUGAGGUAUGCUGGAGGUAUCAGAAGUGCGAAUGCUGACAUAAGUAACGAUAAAGCGGGUGAAAAGCCCGCUCGCCGGAAGACCAAGGGUUCCUGUCCAACGUUAAUCGGGGCAGGGUGAGUCGACCCCUAAGGCGAGGCCGAAAGGCGUAGUCGAUGGGAAACAGGUUAAUAUUCCUGUACUUGGUGUUACUGCGAAGGGGGGACGGAGAAGGCUAUGUUGGCCGGGCGACGGUUGUCCCGGUUUAAGCGUGUAGGCUGGUUUUCCAGGCAAAUCCGGAAAAUCAAGGCUGAGGCGUGAUGACGAGGCACUACGGUGCUGAAGCAACAAAUGCCCUGCUUCCAGGAAAAGCCUCUAAGCAUCAGGUAACAUCAAAUCGUACCCCAAACCGACACAGGUGGUCAGGUAGAGAAUACCAAGGCGCUUGAGAGAACUCGGGUGAAGGAACUAGGCAAAAUGGUGCCGUAACUUCGGGAGAAGGCACGCUGAUAUGUAGGUGAAGCGACUUGCUCGUGGAGCUGAAAUCAGUCGAAGAUACCAGCUGGCUGCAACUGUUUAUUAAAAACACAGCACUGUGCAAACACGAAAGUGGACGUAUACGGUGUGACGCCUGCCCGGUGCCGGAAGGUUAAUUGAUGGGGUUAGCGGUAACGCGAAGCUCUUGAUCGAAGCCCCGGUAAACGGCGGCCGUAACUAUAACGGUCCUAAGGUAGCGAAAUUCCUUGUCGGGUAAGUUCCGACCUGCACGAAUGGCGUAAUGAUGGCCAGGCUGUCUCCACCCGAGACUCAGUGAAAUUGAACUCGCUGUGAAGAUGCAGUGUACCCGCGGCAAGACGGAAAGACCCCGUGAACCUUUACUAUAGCUUGACACUGAACAUUGAGCCUUGAUGUGUAGGAUAGGUGGGAGGCUUUGAAGUGUGGACGCCAGUCUGCAUGGAGCCGGCCUUGAAAUACCACCCUUUAAUGUUUGAUGUUCUAACGUUGGCCCCUGAUCGGGGUUGCGGACAGUGUCUGGUGGGUAGUUUGACUGGGGCGGUCUCCUCCUAAAGAGUAACGGAGGAGCACGAAGGUUGGCUAAUCCUGGUCGGACAUCAGGAGGUUAGUGCAAUGGCAUAAGCCAGCUUGACUGCGAGCGUGACGGCGCGAGCAGGUGCGAAAGCAGGUCAUAGUGAUCCGGUGGUUCUGAAUGGAAGGGCCAUCGCUCAACGGAUAAAAGGUACUCCGGGGAUAACAGGCUGAUACCGCCCAAGAGUUCAUAUCGACGGCGGUGUUUGGCACCUCGAUGUCGGCUCAUCACAUCCUGGGGCUGAAGUAGGUCCCAAGGGUAUGGCUGUUCGCCAUUUAAAGUGGUACGCGAGCUGGGUUUAGAACGUCGUGAGACAGUUCGGUCCCUAUCUGCCGUGGGCGCUGGAGAACUGAGGGGGGCUGCUCCUAGUACGAGAGGACCGGAGUGGACGCAUCACUGGUGUUCGGGUUGUCAUGCCAAUGGCACUGCCCGGUAGCUAAAUGCGGAAGAGAUAAGUGCUGAAAGCAUCUAAGCACGAAACUUGCCCCGAGAUGAGUUCUCCCUGACUCCUUGAGAGUCCUGAAGGAACGUUGAAGACGACGACGUUGAUAGGCCGGGUGUGUAAGCGCAGCGAUGCGUUGAGCUAACCGGUACUAAUGAACCGUGAGGCUUAACCUUACAACGCCGAAGGUGUUU